rnacentral:rRNA from 1 species
GCAGCCGCCACGGUAAUACGUAGGGUGCAAGCGUUAAUCGGAAUUACUGGGCGUAAAGCGUGCGCAGGCGGUUAUAUAAGACAGAUGUGAAAUCCCCGGGCUCAACCUGGGAACUGCAUUUGUGACUGUAUAGCUAGAGUACGGCAGAGGGGGAUGGAAUUCCGCGUGUAGCAGUGAAAUGCGUAGAUAUGCGGAGGAACACCGAUGGCGAAGGCAAUCCCCUGGGCCUGUACUGACGCUCAUGCACGAAAGCGUGGGGAGCAAACAGGAUUAGAUACCCCCGUAGUCCCUGUCUCUUAUAC